rnacentral:rRNA from 1 species
CGACAGGCUUAACACAUGCAAGUCGAGGGGCAGCGGGGGCGAAGCUUGCUUCGCCUGCCGGCGACCGGCGCACGGGUGAGUAACACGUAUGCGACCUGCCCCCCGCAGGGGGAUAACCGGGAGAAAUCCCGACUAAUACCGCGUAACGCCGCGGGGCUGCAUGGCCCGGCGGCCAAAGGAAGCGAUUCCGGCGGGGGAUGGGCAUGCGGCGCAUUAGCUAGUCGGCGGGGUAACGGCCCACCGAGGCGACGAUGCGUAGGGGUUCUGAGAGGAAGGUCCCCCACACUGGUACUGAGACACGGACCAGACUCCUACGGGAGGCAGCAGUGAGGAAUAUUGGUCAAUGGGCGGGAGCCUGAACCAGCCAAGUCGCGUGAGGGAAGACGGUCCUACGGAUUGUAAACCUCUUUUGCCGGGGAGCAACGGGGUCCUUGCGAGGGCCCGAUGAGAGUACCCGGAGAAAAAGCAUCGGCUAACUCCGUGCCAGCAGCCGCGGUAAUACGGAGGAUGCGAGCGUUAUCCGGAUUUAUUGGGUUUAAAGGGUGCGUAGGCGGGCUGUUAAGUCAGCGGUCAAAUGUCGGGGCUCAACCCCGGCCUGCCGUUGAAACUGGCGGCCUCGAGUGGGCGAGAAGUAUGCGGAAUGCGUGGUGUAGCGGUGAAAUGCAUAGAUAUCACGCAGAACUCCGAUUGCGAAGGCAGCAUACCGGCGCCCGACUGACGCUGAGGCACGAAAGCGUGGGUAUCGAACAGGAUUAGAUACCCUGGUAGUCCACGCAGUAAACGAUGAAUGCUAGCUGUCCGGUUCUACGGGACUGGGUGGCACAGCGAAAGCGUUAAGCAUUCCACCUGGGGAGUACGCCGGCAACGGUGAAACUCAAAGGAAUUGACGGGGGCCCGCACAAGCGGAGGAACAUGUGGUUUAAUUCGAUGAUACGCGAGGAACCUUACCCGGGCUCAAACGCCAAAGGACAGCCGUUGAAAGGCGGCCUCCCUCCGGGGUCUUUGGCGAGGUGCUGCAUGGUUGUCGUCAGCUCGUGCCGUGAGGUGUCGGCUUAAGUGCCAUAACGAGCGCAACCCCCAUCGACAGUUGCUAACGGGUAGAGCCGAGGACUCUGUCGAGACUGCCGGCGCAAGCUGCGAGGAAGGCGGGGAUGACGUCAAAUCAGCACGGCCCUUACGUCCGGGGCGACACACGUGUUACAAUGGCCGGUACAGCGGGAUGCCAGGGCGCGAGCCCGAGCGGAACCCGAAAACCGGUCUCAGUUCGGAUUGGAGUCUGCAACCCGACUCCAUGAAGCUGGAUUCGCUAGUAAUCGCGCAUCAGCCACGGCGCGGUGAAUACGUUCCCGGGCCUUG